UACUCAAAAAGCUUUUAUUUCUCGCCGAUUGUUAAUGCAAACAUACACCACUUUCCGUCACUGACAAAUGCAUAAACCUGUAGAACAAUGAAUUUUCUUUUUGUCAUUUGGGGUUACAAUCACCGCCUUGGCAGCAUUGACGCUAAUGACGUUUCAUGGAGUUGUCUUCAUUAGUUUGAAGCCUUGGUUUGCAGAGGCAAUAGCCGCUGUAACAACGAGCAGCCGGGCCUCCGGGACACUGAAUGCUUUUGCAAUCAGUAUCAUUGGCGCACGGGGUGUCUCCAUUUAUAAUUGUUGCCUUUGAUAGUGAGGUGC
rnacentral:lncRNA from 1 species